CCCAACCAAAAGCGCAGGUCAUUGGGGUUUUCCUGAAAGAAAAAUAACACUGGUCAGAGACCAGUCCCCAUUACAGAUGGAGACGUGAGAACAAGAUGAUGUCAGAGUCCCCGAGGCCUCUGUGUUCACACUGUUUUGGCUCUUAACAAUUUGGAAAAACGGUAACACAUGAAGACACUUGGAAGAGUUAUAGUCCAUAGUUGGUAUCAAGACGAUACAGUUGUGGGACUGGAGAGACCCCUGUCAUCCAUGCGGACAGCAACGACAAGAGAACAGGCCUUAGCUUGUGCUCAGCACUAAGUGACUGUGUGUGAAAGAAAUCAAUGCGUCUUUACCCAAUAAUAGGCUUAAUGAUUGGAAGUCUUUGGUAAGAAACAUGAGAUUAAAACAAAAUAAAGAAGACAGAAAGAAAGCCAUUGUUGUCUUUUGGAAAUGUCUCAGAACAGAACUAAAGAGAGCUACCUCUGAGCUGGGGGAUUAAGAGCUGUCAGGGAUUCUAAACCAUAAUCUAUUUCAAGGAACAGACACUCGAGGUUUUAAAACUUGUGUGCAGGAUAUAAAAGUCUAUGGUAUUGUCCCCAUCAAAAAAAAAGUAUGAUUCACUUCAGGUGGUUAAGAAAUAAACCCGGACCAGACACACACUUUUAAAUGAAGGGUUUUUGGGAGGUAUCAGCCCUUUCUGGCCUAAGGCGGGUAAGGCAAGCCAAGGCUACUCAGGAAUUUAGUCCUUUCAGACAAGAGAGGAUCCAUUCUGGUUUUCAGGUAUUUGAAUCUUCUGUGUGGGUGACAUCAGAGGGUGAAAAGAAAAAGUGGAGGAAGAAAAAUCAUAAGCCAGGAGACAUUUGGUCACUGCUACUUCCUCUUUCUUCACUCUACAUUGCACAGAUGCCAUUGGCUUGUGCAAAAAUACAAAACAAGUAAGAAACGCCUCAUAAACGAUUUCAAGGAUGAAAAGGAUCUGCAUUCUGGAGAGUGUGUUUGGUGAGGGACUUCUGCUACCACAGCUUUCUACCUCCUCCACAGAGACCGUUCUUAGCACACACACCUUCAG